rnacentral:rRNA from 1 species
AGUUUGGGCCGCACGCGCGCUACACUGAAGCAGUCAGCGAGUUUAUAACCUUGGCCGGAAGGUCUGGGUAAACUUUUGAAACUGUUUCGUGCUGGGGAUAGAGCAUUGUAAUUAUUGCUCUUCAACGAGGAAUUCCUAGUAAGCGCAAGUCAUCAGCUUGCGUUGAUUACGUCCCUGCCCUUUGUACACACCGCCCGUCGCUACUACCGAUUGAAUGGUUAUAGUGAGCAUAUGGGAUCAGUGGAAUCGAGCUGGCAACAGCUCUUUUCUGCAGAGAACUAUGGCAAACUAGGCUAUUUAGAGGAAGUAAAAGUCGUAACAAGGUUUCCGUAGGUGAACCUGCGGAAGGAUCAUUAAAUAAAUAAGAAGUAGAUUAGGCUUGUCCUGUUUACUAUCUAUUUUACUGUGAACUGUUUUAUUUCAUAGUGCUUGAGGGAUGUUCUUAUUGCUAUAUGGGUAGGCAUAGGAAAUGUUAACCGAACUAUGGUCAAGCUUAGGCUUGGUACCCUGUUUAUAUACUUUCAAUUGAUCAGAUUUUAAAAUUUUAACAUAGAUAGUAAUAUCUAUAAAACAACUUUUAACAAUGGAUCUCUUGGCUUUUGCAUCGAUGAAGAACGUAGCAAAUUGCGAUAACUAGUGUGAAUUGCAAAUUCAGUGAAUCAUCGAGUCUUUGAACGCAUCUUGCGCUCAUUGGUAUUCCAGUGAGCACGCCUGUUUCAGUAUCAAAAACAACCCUCAUUCAAACAUUUUUGUUUGAAUGGUCAUGAAAGGAAGCUUAGUAACCAUAAGCCACCUUUUUAAAUUGAGUAAAGGCCGGAAUUUGUUUCAUCUAGCCCGGACUUUUUUUUUAAUUAUAAAGGGAAAGCCUCUUUGCGAACUUGGGACUUUGGUUGGGGGCCCUCCCCAAAUAAAAGCUUUUUUCCAUCUUUGAACCUGAAAAUCCGGGGGGGGGACUACCCCCCCUGGAACCUUUAAGGCAUAUUCAAUUAAGCCGGGGGGAAAAAGAAAAAAUACCCGGGGAUUUUCCCCAAGUAACCGGGCCAAUGGAACCGGGGAAAAAAACUCCAA